UAAAACGAUAUGAAUGUCAUAUUUUAAAAUAAAAAUUGUGAUGACGUAACUGAAACCCAUGGCGGGAACUAAAAGAACAAGCCCGCACUAUUUUGUUCAGCGGCGGUUGCUAUCAAUCAUGCGCACAUGAAAAGGCGCAAUUUUAUCAACCGUCGUCGGAGCAGUUUAGUGUGAAGUUGCAGUUUUUAUAAUCACAGGAAUUAGAAGAAAAAUCUCAAAUAAGCUUUAAUUUUUGCUUUGUUGAUUCUAACUGUUAAUUGUCAUGUUAAACAGUUGUUAUUAUUCCUUCUUUUUCAGCCAUCAGGGACGUCAAGAGAGGCCACUACUUCUGAAUCUUCCCGGACACCAACUUGUCCUAAAAUUCGAGUAAAGCUACUUGUAGGGUAUCACUUGUAGUACACCUUCGACAGGAGGGAGAUCAACUCCCAGUUUGGAUUGUAAUGAUAAUGAUCAGGAUAGCACCGAUUCUCACAGACAAAAGCAUCGAGUCUGACUCCGAAGCAAUGGAAGUAGAAAAAGUCACCUAAGAAGCAGAAACACCGAAGAGUACAAACAACUGUACUCCACACUGAAAUCCACUACAGUUGCUUGUAAGCCCAAGCAGUCUGGGCUUGAAGAUUCUAACAAAAAAAAUUCCCAAAGGAGCAGGGAAGAAACUGUGUAAGGCAAAACAGAAAGAGAAGAGUCCAGCGUAAAAAAGCUGCACAGGCAAAUUCCAAUGCCAAAGAAAUAUCAGAUUUGAGACCACGGUGAUGCAAAAUCUUAAAUAAAGAAAACGUCUACAUCAGGCUAAUACCUACAGGGAGUUUGUUGAAUGUUAAAUCACUUUGUUGCAGAAGGAAUGGUCGUUUGUAGCUUUUAAGCCAUCUAAUUCUAUUUUGACAAUUCUAUUGGAGCACCUAUUACUUGAAGAGCAAGUCUCCCUUCCCCUUGGCAUUGAUAAUAUUUUAUCUUUGAAGCAAGCGAGUGAAUUAAAGAUUUAAUAUUAAAGUACUGGAUGGAU